GUCGAUCUUACCAAUGAAUUAGGUGCCUUUAAUAUCCUUUCCUCCUGGUGAAAAUUAUCUGUUCGUCUAGAAUUCUUUCAAUACGAUCAUAUUUUUUUGAAAAUUUUGGCUGUAGACACCCAGGUUAGGGUUAACUCUUAAUGGAUGGGUUAGGCUCAAACGGAUCACUAGGUAUCGUUAUUGGUUCUUUAUAUUUAACCACAUUCAAAACAUUAAAAGUAGAGCAGAUGCCAUAAUCAGGCA
rnacentral:lncRNA from 1 species